rnacentral:rRNA from 1 species
GACGAACGCUGGCGGCGUGCCUAAUACAUGCAAGUCGAGCGAAGUGGCGAACGGGUGAGUAACGCGUGAGUAACUGCCCCCCUCUCUGGGAUAACAGUUGGAAACGGCUGCUAAUACCGGAUAGUGGGGGAUGACUCGCUUCCUCUCAGCUUGUUGGUGGGGUAGUGGCCUACCAAGGCGACGACGGGUAGCCGGCCUGAGAGGGCGACCGGCCACAUGGGGCUGAGAUACGGGCCAAACUCCUACGGGAGGCAGCAGUGGGGAAUAUUGCACAAUGGGGGAAACCCUGAUGCAGCAACGCGCGUGCGGGAUGACGGCCUUCGGGUUGUAAACCGCUUUCAGCCAUGACGCGGUAGUGGCAGAAGAAGCACCGGCUAACUACGUGCCAGCAGCCGCGGUAAUAC